UACGUAGGGCGCAAGCGUUGUCCGGAAUUAUUGGGCGUAAAGAGCUCGUAGGCGGUUUUUCGCGUCUGCCGUGAAAGUCCGGGGCUCAACUCCGGAUCUGCGGUGGGUACGGGCAGACUAGAGUGAUGUAGGGGAGACUGGAAUUCCUGGUGUAGCGGUGAAAUGCGCAGAUAUCAGGAGGAACACCGAUGGCGAAGGCAGGUCUCUGGGCAUUAACUGACGCUGAGGAGCGAAAGCAUGGGGAGCGAACAGG
rnacentral:rRNA from 1 species